UACAGAGGGUGCGAGCGUUAAUCGGAAUUACUGGGCGUAAGGCGCGCGUAGACGGUUUGGUAAGUCAGAUGUGAAAUCCCCGGGCUCAACCUGGGAACUGCAUUUGAUACUGCCUGGCUAGAGUAUCGAAGAGGGAAGUGGAAUUUCCGGUGUAGCGGUGAAAUGCGUAGAUAUCGGAAGGAACACCAGUGGCGAAAGCGACUUCCUGGUCGAAUACUGACGUUCAUGUGCAAAGCGUGGGGAGCAAACAGG
rnacentral:misc_RNA from 1 species